CACAUACUUCGUGUUGACUAUUGGUUUUGUGAUGGGUGUUACUUUGGCUGCAAUAUUGGGAGUUUCAUUUGGUUCCAUAGUCACACUGUUCACUAAGGACAUUGGAGUAUUGGCGAUUGCUAGAACCGGGGUUUUGUUUGUGAGUGCUAGUCAGCCUUUGAAUGCUUUUGCUUUUAUUGUUGAUGGUUUGCAUUAUGGAGUUUCAG